rnacentral:tRNA from 1 species
ACCUGGCUGGCUCAGUCAGUGGAGCACGCGACUUUUGAUCUCAAGGUUGUAAGUUCGAGCCUCAUGUUGGGUA